rnacentral:rRNA from 1 species
UACGGAGGAUGCAAGCGUUAUCCGGAAUGAUUGGGCGUAAAGCGUCCGCAGGUGGCAAUGUAAGUCUGCUGUUAAAGAGUCUAGCUCACCUAGAUACAAGCAGUGGAAACUACAUAGCUAGAGUACGUUCGGGGCAGAGGGAAUUCCUGGUGUAGCGGUGAAAUGCGUAGAGAUCAGGAAGAACACCGGUGGCGAAGGCGCUCUGCUAGGCCGUAACUGACACUGAGGGACGAAAGCUAGGGGAGCGAAUGGG